UGUCCUCGCAGGUCGCAGCUUCAUGGCCUGAUGCCUUCAGGAAGUAUUUUGAAGUCAUCGUGGCUGUGGAUUGGGGGAUUUCUUGUUUCCACUGACCUGUGAGGCCGCGCACGUGGAGGGAGGCACCCCGGGUCCUCCGGCACUGUCCGGCCUCGCCUGUGUCCCUAGUAGCAGUGGGCAUUUCCAGACGGUGCAGCUUGUGGCUAAAGUGACAGGAAGAUGUAGGAGCUUUCAGUCUUGGAUGAGGAUUCGAACUGAAGGGCUUAGGCCCAGCUGUCUUGGAGCAAAACAUCUGUUGUGGGAUGUGGCGGCAGAGGAGGGCAAGGCCGAAGGAGCAGACAGCACCGCUUCUUGGGGAGUUGUGAAGGCAUCAUGCGGAGGGCCGAGCUUAGCAGCCAAGUGGAGGACAGCACCCUCCAUGCCUGGAUUCGUUACUCGCUCGUUCUCGAUGUUGAGCUGCUGGCAUAUUGCAGCACAACUAGAGAUGUACGGAUGCCCCCAUCUUGAUCUUACAGAAUCAGAGGUGCAGCCGCAAGAAAGCUACACCCUCUCGGUUUUCUCUGCUCUGCCAACACUAGUGGAAUAUGAUCACAUCCCAGGGAUCAGUGUCAUUUAGGGAUGUGACUAUGGGCUUCACUCAAGAGGAGUGGCAUCAUCUGGACCCUGCUCAGAGGACCCUGUAGAGGAAUGUGAUGCUGGAGAACUACAGCCACCUUGUCUCAGUAGGGUAUUGCAUCAUUCACAGGGUAUUGCAUUCCUAAACCAGAAGUGAUCCUCAAAUUGGAGACAGGCAAGGAGCCAUGGAUAUUAGAGGAAAAAUUUCGAAGCCAGAGUCAUCUGGAAUUAAUUAAUACCAGUAGAAACUAUUCAAGAAUGAAGUUCAAUGAGUUUAACAAAGGUGGAAAAUGUUUCUGUGAUGAAAGCAUGAAAUAAUUCAUUUUGAAGAGGAACCUUCUGAAUAUAAUAACAAUGGGAACAGCUUCUGGCUGAAUGAAGACCUCAUUUGGCAUCAGAAGAUUAAAAAUUGGG
rnacentral:lncRNA from 1 species